rnacentral:lncRNA from 1 species
AAGUUAAAGAUCAAGACACCAUCAGAUUCUGGAGCCUGCUUAGCCUGUGACAACAGCAGCCCAGAAGUACCUGAGAUUUAGACUAAGGAAAUCCUUAACAACCUCAGCCAAUCAAGAUCACCAUUCUUUGUCCCUCCAUGGUCAAUUCUGAGGCAAUUCUGUGUCUAGUUGUUCUCAAUAGUAACCUACUAUUAAUCAAACUUCCUGACUUUCCAGGCUUCCCUAUCUUUCUCCACUUCCUUAUCUGUGCUGCUUUCUUACCACCUCUCAAAUAAAUUACUUGUGCCCAA